GACAGCAUAGCCAAGUGGUUACGGCGACAGAUUAGAAUUGCAAGCCAUGCUUCUACUAUUAUCUGUUCCUCUUUGAGGGCGCAGGUUCGAAUCCUGCUGUUGUCG